GGCGCUGCCUACCUCUGAUGCCAAAAGGCGGCGCAGCGGUCGCGGAGCACAGCGGAGGUGGCGGCGGCGAGAGUAUGGUGCGCGCGUUUUUGAUCACAGUGCGGAUUCGGCGCGCUGGUGGCCCGCCGCGAGUGAGGGCUUUUGUGGUGCGGAUCACGCGGCCAGCGGGUGAGUGGGCAGAGCCGGGUGUGCGGGCCGCUGCGGCCCUGGUGUUAAAGCUAGUGAGGAGCCGUCGCAGAGCGCAGCAGCCGCAUCCUCGAAGAGCAGGUCAUGAUGAUGGGCAGUACCCGCGUGGCCGAGCUGCUGCUGCUCCAUGGCGCAGACCCCAACUGCGCCGACCCCACCACCCUCACCCGACCUGCGCACGACGCGGCCCGGGAGGGCUUCCUGGACACGCUCGUGGUGCUGCACCGCGCCGGGGCGCGUCUGGACGUGCGCGAUGCCUGGGGCCGCCUGCCCGUGGACCUGGCUGAGGAGCGGGGCCACCGCGCUGUCGCCGGGUACCUGCGCGCAGCCGCGGGGGGCACUGAAGCUGGUAGCCACGCCAGCAUGGAAGACAGCCCGGACUUAAAGAAUGAUUGAGAUCUAAAGACACCUCAAAAUGGUUUGAUCUUCAAUCAAUGAAAGUGGAUUACCCCCACCCCACCCAACUCUUCCCUGCCGCCUUAGUCAUUUAUCAAAAGGCUUCAUAUUACUAUCCCUUCACCUUCCCCUAAAUUUUCUUUUAUACAUUGUUAUAAAAGGUAAAAAAAAAAAAA